UACGUAGGGACCAAGCGUUGUUCGGAUUUACUGGGCGUAAAGCGCGCGCAGGCGGCACACUAAGUACGAUGUGAAAUCUCCCUGCUCAACGGGGAGGGUGCAUAGUAAACUGGUGAGCUAGAGGACGGUAGAGGGGGGUGGAAUUGCUGGUGUAGCGGUGAAAUGCGUAGAGAUCAGCAGGAACACCCGUGGCGAAGGCGGCCCCCUGGGCCGAACCUGACGCUGAGGCGCGAAGGCUAGGGGAGCGAACGGG
rnacentral:rRNA from 1 species